GGGGAAUGUUAAAACAAAGCCAUUUACAAUUUGUACCAAAUACAAUAUAACUGUUUGUUCCCUAUUUCUGAAUAAUUACAGUAUAUACAGAUUCAUUAAGGCACUGGUUCCACAAAAGAAUACAAAUGAGUCUUCUUUUGAAACAAAUUUUAAAAAAUUUUUUACAAAGCCACCAAGCUUUCUUCAAAAGAAAUGGCAUUGUUUGUUACAGGAGAAAUCACAAGUGCUAAACGUUACUUCUUCUGAUGUCCAUUCCCAGGCUGCUACAGCUUCUACACCACUGAAUUCCCUACACACCUGUAACUUAAAAUAGUCAAGUUUUCAAAUUACCCUUCUCUUAUUAUCAUCCCUGACUAGUUGUAAUUUCAAUGAAAGCAUUAAACAAAGCUGAUCUUGGCACCAGUAAACAGAAUCUGUGAGCACUGUACAAGUCUGCUUUCCUCAGUUAUUGUAGAAGAAAAGGAUGGGCUUGUUGUUGUAUUACUGUUUUGUUUUUCUUGAAAAACCAAAGUUCUGGCUCUUCAUAAAUUUUUGUUUUUGGAGAAAUCACAACUCAAAAUUUAACAAUCUAUGUAUUAUCAUAAAUAAAUAUUAUGCUUCAUUUAGUGCUUUAUUGUCCAUAAUAUCUUACUUCCUAAUCACAUACUGGAGUUAUUCCAGACUCCAAAUUAAACAUAAUAUAUAUUUAUACACACACACAUAUAUGUAUACAUAUAUAUGUACACAUAUAUAAAAAACACACAUAAACCUGAACAUCUUAACAUACAAACAUUACAUUAUCUACCAACUGAUAUCUUAAAAUCUCUUAUUUUGAGGGGAGGGGAGAAAGUUUAAAUUAGUUUGUAAUUAAGAAUAAUCCUGAAAGUAAACAAUCAACUGAUAGAAACAUUUUCCAGGUUACUCCCUCUUCCUCUGUUUAACAACAUUCACCCAUUUGCUAGAUCUUUCAUAAAAAUAAAAAUUAAAUUAAAAUUAUUCUAUUCUAUAGUAUUUUGUAAGUAGUCUGAUUUUUAAAAAACAAUUCCUGUAAAAAUAGUUUUUGUAACAAAAGGAAAGAAUUAUUCAUAAAUUGUUAUUAUAAACUUUUACAUAAGAUAAGCCCUAAUUGGUCUUUUCUUUAGUACCUAAUUAAUAUGUAUCUUAAUACCUUUUAUAGUGAUUGAGGUUGGUGAUUAAAAAGGUAAUUAUAAUUUGUCUUGAUUCAACAGAGUAAAUAAUACAUACAGCAUGGGGGAUAGGCUAUGAUUACUCCCUAUUGCUAUUUUUAUUAGCAACUCUGGAAAAAAACAUUCAAACCCAUUUUUCAAUUUCUUCAGUAUUUCAAAUGACUCAUGAUUUCAAAUGAUUCAAGGAAUCUGAAAGUGAGUUUGAGAGAAGCCAUUCUGCUUUUGAUUCUAAGGUGUCUUAAGAGUUGAUAAAGAAGGACAUAAAGGACAUUUCUUCAGAGAAAUAAUAGAAGUUUAAUUUGGGAAAGACCUGAGUAAUUAAUGUGCUUUGGCCAGAAAGCCUCUUUAGAAAUACUUCACUGCCGAACUGCCACAACCAACACAUUUGUCUCUGAACAACUUGGCUUUCACAUAUAAAGGCUCUCUGCAAAUUACAUAUAUAUUAACCUUAAUGUAAGCUAACCUGUUUU
rnacentral:lncRNA from 1 species